GGUAAGGUGGCUCAGUGGUAGAGUGCUUGCCUUGCAUGCAUGAGGCCCUAGGUUUG
rnacentral:tRNA from 1 species